rnacentral:rRNA from 1 species
AUUGAACGCUGGCGGCAUGCCUUACACAUGCAAGUCGAACGGCAGCACGGGUGCUUGCACCUGGUGGCGAGUGGCGAACGGGUGAGUAAUACAUCGGAACAUGUCCUGUAGUGGGGGAUAGCCCGGCGAAAGCCGGAUUAAUACCGCAUACGAUCUACGGAGGAAAGCGGGGGACCUUCGGGCCUCGCGCGAUAGGGUUGGCCGAUGGCUGAUUAGCUAGUUGGUGGGGUAAAGGCCUACCAAGGCGACGAUCAGUAGCUGGUCUGAGAGGACGACCAGCCACACUGGGACUGAGACACGGCCCAGACUCCUACGGGAGGCAGCAGUGGGGAAUUUUGGACAAUGGGCGAAAGCCUGAUCCAGCAAUGCCGCGUGUGUGAAGAAGGCCUUCGGGUUGUAAAGCACUUUUGUCCGGAAAGAAAUCCUUGGCCCUAAUACGGUCGGGGGAUGACGGUACCGGAAGAAUAAGCACCGGCUAACUACGUG